rnacentral:rRNA from 1 species
CGGGAAAAGCUCAAAUUUAAAAUCUGGCGGCUCCGGCCGUCCGAAUUGUAGUCUGGAGAGGUGUCUUCUGUGCUGGACCGUGUACAAGUCUCUUGGAACAGAGCGUCACAGAGGGUGAGAAUCCCGUCUUUGACACGGACUGCCAGUGCUGUGUGAUGCACUUUCAAA